AGUGAACGCUGGCGGUAGGCCUAACACAUGCAAGUCGAACGGCAGCACAGUAAGAGCUUGCUCUUACGGGUGGCGAGUGGCGGACGGGUGAGGAAUACAUCGGAAUCUACUUUUUCGUGGGGGAUAACGUAGGGAAACUUACGCUAAUACCGCAUACGACCUACGGGUGAAAGCAGGGGAUCUUCGGACCUUGUGCGAUUGAAUGAGCCGAUGUCGGAUUAGCUAGUUGGCGGGGUAAAGGCCCACCAAGGCGACGAUCCGUAGCUGGUCUGAGAGGAUGAUCAGCCACACUGGAACUGAGACACGGUCCAGACUCCUACGGGAGGCAGCAGUGGGGAAUAUUGGACAAUGGGCGCAAGCCUGAUCCAGCCAGACCGCGUGGGUGAAGAAGGCCUUCGGGUUGUAAAGCCCUUUUGUUGGGAAAGAAAAGCAGCAGGUUAAUACCCCGCUGUUCUGACGGUACCCAAAGAAUAAGCACCGGCUAACUUCGU
rnacentral:rRNA from 1 species